ensembl:piRNA 21ur-5226 ncRNA
UCUGUGUUCGGUGGACUUUCA